UACCCCUAUAUACAGUGUGUGUGUGUGUGUGUGUGUGUGUGUGUAUGUAUAUAUAUAUAUAUAUAUAUACAUACACACACACACACACACACACACACACACACACACAUA
rnacentral:miRNA from 1 species